CAAGCGCGAAAGGAGGUGAUCCGAUGUCUCAUGGUUCAGUAGAGAGGUCGGCAAGUUUCCGCGCGAGGUACUAUAGGUAAGUUCGAUACCUAUAGAGACUUCGUGAGCGGCGCUUACCGCCGCUGACCAUGAAAGGGCUGAACCUCCUACGGGCGAGGUUCGGCCCU
rnacentral:sRNA from 1 species